rnacentral:misc_RNA from 1 species
UUUCCGUAGGUGAACCUGCGGAAGGAUCAUUAUUGUAUAACCGAGGUGCGAGGGCUGUCGCUGACCCGAAAGGUCGUGCACGCCCGAGUGCCCUCACACACAUCCAUCUCACCCCUAUGUGCACCACCGCGUGGGUCCCCCUUUGGCUUGUUCGGAGGGGGGCUUACGUUUUCACACAAACUCUGUAUGCAGUGUAGAAUGUAUUUUUUGUUUUUGCGAUCACGCAAUCAAUACAACUUUCAACAACGGAUCUCUUGGCUCUCGCAUCGAUGAAGACGCAGC